AAUAUUGGACAAGGGGGGCAACCCUGACCCAGCCACGCCGCGUGCGUGAAGAAGGUUUUCGGCUUUUAAAGCACUUUAAGUUGGGAGGAAGCGCCUUAGGCUAAUACCCUGAAGUUUCUACGUUACCGACAGAAUCGGCCUCGUCUAACUUCGUGCCAGCAGCCGCGGUAAUACGAAGGGUGCAAGCGUUAAUCGGAAUUACUGGGCGUAAAGCGGUCGUAGGUGGUUUGUUAAGUUGGAAGUGAAAGCCCCGGGCUCAACCUGGGAACUGCUUUCAAAACUGGCAAGCUAGAGUAUGGCAGAGGGUAGUGGAAUUUCCUGUGUAGCGGUGAAAUGCGUAGAUAUAGGAAGGAACACCAGUGGCGAAGGCGACUACCUGGACUGAUACUGACACUGAGGUGCGAAAGCGUGGGGAGCAAAC
rnacentral:rRNA from 1 species